GCCGGAACUAUAGAAAGCCGCUCUUCGAAUAAGUUCCCUUUUUUAAACAUUAACACCCAACUACAGGCCAGUUCAUUACAAGAAGUUCUGAUUAUAACCUCAACAGUUAAAGUAUCCAAAGAAAAAAAUAAAAAACCCAAGGGCGAAAAUAACACUCCAGAUUGAAUCUCUGAAAAAAUGUCAGGAAACCCUACUGAUUAUUGACUCGCUAAGACCCAUUAAGGAUGGACUUAAUAGCCAGGCACAGGUAAAGGAAGAUGGGAAGAAGAAGAAGAAGAAGAAGACUGAUGACUGCGUAGAGUAGUUUGAAAUGUUGAUGCUGGCGUUUUUAUCUUCUAGUUUUUUCGUAUAAGUAUGGUAAGUAUAAAUAUUGUAGGGAAUCUAUCGAUUCCCUCGAAAAUAUUCGAGUUGGGUUAAAUUUCGAACCAAAAUGCUAAAAAUAGAAGAACUCUAAGGGAUCCGUAGAAAGGCUUUGCUAACGGUCGAAUGGAAAACGGCCUGAAUGCCAUAAAAAUCGGCAUUUCAGGGCGAAUAAUUCAAUUGAGUUCCGUCCAGUCCAUAGAGCAAGUAUAUAUAGAGGAGAAACUGAUGUACUAAACUCUGAAACAGUAAUUUAGUUCCAUCAACAUCUUCGAGUGGCCGCUCGCAUCACUGAUUUUCUAUUUACCUAGAGAAAUAUUUACUUAACCUCAAAAAUUUUUAGUUGAUCCGUCGAACGUAGCGUACCUUAUUUUUGGUAAGAGAUUUAUUAUGUUGCAGUCAACUUUGAAGUCCAACAAAUAUUGUGUUCCUAACUGUGGAGAUGUGUAGGGUAAACGUCAUCGUUUUCGAAUGAAGAGAAGCAGCCAACAAUUUUCAAACUUUUGCUCGAAAAAGUUAGUUAUCCAUUGCUCAACUCAAAAACUCAUCAACAAAUCCGCAAGAAGUGAAAUUAGAUAGCCUUAAAGGAAUUUGGGCAACUGCUAUCCCUGAAUUAUUUCUUCCUGGAUCUUCAAAUCAAGGGGAAGACAGAGAAGUUCAUGAAACUGAAGGAAUACAUCUCCAAAGUGAUGUUGAGAGGGAAGUAUCAACAGAGACUUUGAAGAAUUUUAAGCAGCGUCAGAAAACUUCAAUAUAUAGAAAUAUAUAGAAGAAUGAACGUUUUCUAUCAAAAUGUCUGAUUGAUAAGAGAAGCAAACUGAGAAUUACCCAAAAAAAAAGUUUCAUCAUACAAAGAGCUGCUAAAAAAUGUAGAGAAAUUUAAUACAUGAGCAAAUUUCAGUAGACUGAUGAAUUAUGUUUCUCCAACAGCUUUUAAUUGGGCAUACUUUUGGAAGUAGUUGUAUGUUCCAACAUUUCAAACAAAUGAUAUCGAGGACAACAAUUAAUUGAUACUAGAAGCUGUGGCACUGCAGAGCUGAUCCCUUUUUUGGAUGAGCUGUUUGAUAGCCUGAAUAUGCAAUUGUGAAGGGCACUGAUAAAAAUUCAAAACUUCUGGAGUUAUGUGUGACCCAAUUAAAAAUUUGGCAUACUAGAAAUAUUUGAAAAAUGUAAAACUUUAAAUAGAUGAUUUUUUAUAUGAA